UCCGCGAGCCUGCACCCACGCGUGCAGUUUCACGUAGGGGGUCGCGAUCCCCCUCGCAUUAACCCCGUCCGCCCAUCGCUCCUCCUCCCAUCCCCUCCGCGGCUCUGCCUGGCCUCAGAUUCGCCACCGCCGACGGCUCCUCGUCCUCGUCGCCGCCGCCGCAGAUGCCGGAUCCUCGUCCUCGCCGCCGCCGCCGCAGACGCCGGAUCCUCGUCCUCGCCGCCGCCGCCGGCUCCUCGUCUUUGCUGCCGCCGCCUCCUCGUCCUGGCCGCCGCCGUUCCUUUUUGCAGGAUCCCACGUCGAGCGACUACUGGAGGCUCGCCGCGACUGGAUAUCGCGACGGUGGGGGACGCUGGUCCGCGAGUAGACGAGGUCAUGACGAGCGCCGCGCGACCUGGAUCUCGUGGCAUCGGUUGGAGCAAGAUCAAGGAAUGGCAGCAGAAUCCAGAUCGGCCAUGCCCAUUGUUGGUUUCUUCUGUUCGUCUGGUCCCUGUCAACAUCCUUGUUUUUCAUGCAUAUACGCGAUGGCUCUGUACUUGGUCUACCCUGCCGAGGCCGGAGGACAGAGACUUUUUAUGAUGGUUUCUACCUGACUGGAGCGUACGGCCAGAAAGCUUUUCUCCCACCAUGGAUGACGGUGUAAUGUCCGGAUAGGAUCUACCCCAUCCUAGGCUGGAUUGAUUUAUUUUUACUGUAAAACAAUGUUUAUUUUUGUGUUAAGCUCAUCGUCAAGCUCCAUGCCACCCUUGGCAACAGGUACGGCUCUUAGAUUACUCCACUUUUAAAACAGUAAUAUACAUGUAACGCAAGCGUUGUUGCACUCGCAAGAAGAUAUGUUAACCAAUUAGUUUCUGUCGAAA